GUAGUCAUAUGCUUGUCUCAAAGAUUAAGCCAUGCAUGUCUAAGUAUAAGCAAUUAUACAGCGAAACUGCGAAUGGCUCAUUAUAUAAGUUAUCGUUUAUUUGAUAGUACCUUACUACUUGGAUAACCGUGGUAAUUCUAGAGCUAAUACAUGCUAAAAAUCCCAACUUCGGAAGGGAUGUAUUUAUUAGAUUAAAAACCAAUGCCCUUCGGGGCUCCUUGGUGAUUCAUGAUAACUCUUCGAAUCGCAUGGCCUUGUGCCGGCGAUGGUUCAUUCAAAUUUCUUCCCUAUCAACUUUCGAUGUUUGGGUAUUGGCCAAACAUGGUU
rnacentral:rRNA from 1 species